UAGUUAUAGAUCUGUUUAGAUGUUUUAUUUCUUCAUGAUUCAUGGUAGGUUAUUCAAAAUGUAUUUUAUGGGGAGAGUCUGCAAAAUUUACUUAUGGGUUAGGAUGAGGGAAAAGAGAGAAUGGGUGAUAAUUAAUGUUUUUGUCUUAAGCAACUAGCUACAUGAUGGUGCAGGAACCAGGAUAAAGAUUAAAGUAGAAAUGGGAGAAACUCAAGAGUUGGGCUUUAGAUAUUUUAGACUAGAGAUGCUUAUAAGAUACCCAGUGGCAGCUACACAUACAGUUCCAGAGCUCAGACAUGCCUGAGCUAGAGCAGAGGGAAAGAGGUUAUAAGGGUAUACUCUUAGAGCACAGAGAGGAAGGGGUAGUGACUGAAACAUGGUGUUCACCAAGAGAUAAAAACAGAUAAUAAACCCAGAAUACCUUCCUAGAGCCAGACCAUGGUGAUAGGCUCUGAAAUUUGGGUUUUAUUCUCUGUAAAGUGAAAUUACAGAAAAAUUUCUUUUUUUCCUUUUAAAUGGCAGAGUCAUUUACUCAUGGCUAUUAAUUUCUGAUUUUAAAAGUAAUAUACAUCCAUUGAGAAAAAAAACUAAAAAAUAAAGAAAAGUAUAAAGAAUAAAAUAACAUGCAUUUAUAAUCCCACCAUUUGCUUUUAAUUACCACUAACACUAUGGCCUAUUUCCUUCAAAUAAUUUUCUCUUUUUAUACCCAUAUUUUGUAUAUAUUAUAAAACUAAAAUUAUACUACAUAUAAUAAUUCUAUAUCCUACUUUUCUCACUCAAUAUUUUGUCACAAACAUUUGGCUACGUGAUUAAGAAUUCUCUAUAAACAUAAUUUUACUUGCAACAUAAUAUAGAUAAACAGAAAUAAUUUGUUUGACGUUCAAUUAUUGUUGGAUAUUGAGGUUGUUUUCCAUUUUUAAAAAUAAUACCUAGAUCUAUGACAAAUAUUCCUAUGUAAAGAUCUUUGUUCCAUUUCUAGAAUGGAGAAUUUUGGGAUCAAAGGGAAAGAACCUGUUAAAGAUUUUUGAUAUUAUUUGCAAAUUAUUUUUAGAAAAGCUAAUUCAAUGUAUAUUCCUGGUAUAUAAGCCUGCCCACUCACUGUAUUCUUACCAUCACUGAACUCUGUGGUUUAAAAAAUACUUACUAAUUUUAUAGAUUAAAAAUAAUCUAUUAAUGAAAUUUUCUCACUGUGUUCAUGAAACUAUGAGGCAGAAACCAUGGUCUCACAAAACUCCAUACCAGUAAAUUCAAACCACACCAAUAAAGUGUUCAAUUUUAAUAUCAUAAUCUAAAACAUGAGUUUAAGCUCACAAAGUAUGAAAAAAUUUCUAACAAGAUUACUCCAAAGCAACAGGAAAGAUCUAAGCUAGUGAGGGUAGCCCAACAGAGUGAUGCUGAGCAUCAAGCCAUACAACCUGCUAGAGAUCUUAAGGACUCAUCAUAACUUGUUAGCUUUCUGUACAGGGCAGAGGGGAAAAGAAUAACAUGGGGAACACAAGCAAGCUACAGUCCAUCCACCCCUCUCCCUGCCAUUGAUGAAGAGAUGAACCAUAACCUAAAAUACAUUUUUCAAUUCAAAAGGCACCUGGAAACAAUUAUUCAACCUCCAGUGCCAUAUAAAAGAAGUGCACAAGUGUUUAGAGUAAACCAUGGUGCCCAAUGAAGAGGAGAACUGGGAAAAAUAAGUCAAAGGUUACAAUCCCCUUCCUUCUUAUGAUGAAUUUUAAUCUAGAUACCUGAAAACUAGGAUUAGGUAGAUUUUCACAAGGGCUGGGUCCUAUGAAUGAUUGGUUUAGACUGAGAUGAUGAGGGUGUGGCCCCACAGUACCAUAAGGGAGAGGCACACCGAAAUCAUGUUUGUGUGUGCAGAGGUUUCAAAUAGCAGGUGCCGUAUAUCCAGUACCUUCAUGAUCUUGGUUGGCCACCAGUAGAAACACAAAACAGAGAGUAAGCAGGGCAGACUGUGGCAGUGUCCAUUUCUGACACUAUCAAAGGGAGAGAGAAUCUUGGCUUAGGGACUCAAAGUCCCAUCAUCAAGGCUGAGCCCAUGGUGGACAUGCAGUCACCGUGCUCUCUUCUCUCUUCUGCCAUCCCUCCUUCCUCAAGUAUUUGAGUUCUUACAGAGUACAGGGUACUAUGCUAGAGAUUGGGGAUCGUGGUGAACAGGGUAGACAUAGGUCCUGCUCUCACAGAACUGAAAGAUAGUCAACAAUGGAGUAUAUAAAAUCUUUUCAUUAAAAUUGCAGUAUAUGCUUUAGUGAAAACACAGAGUAUGAGUGCUGGGCGCAUACCGUGGCUGUGCGGUUUCUUCUUAAAGUUUGGUCUCAGUUACCUUCUGAGAACCAUGGAAAGUGACUUUUAUCUACGUUACUACGUAAGUCACAAGGGCAAGUUCGGCCACGAGUUCCUGGAGUUUGAGUUCCGACCCGACAGGAAAUUGAGAUAUGCCAACAACAGCAAUUACAAAAAUGAUGUCAUGAUCAGAAAAGAGGCCUAUGUACAUAAAAGUGUGAUGGAGGAACUGAAGAGAAUAAUUGAUGACAGUGAAAUUACCAAAGAAGAUGAUGCUUUGUGGCCUCCACCUGACCGAGUGGGUCGGCAGGAGCUUGAAAUCGUCAUUGGAGAUGAACACAUUUCUUUCACAACAUCAAAAAUUGGUUCCCUUAUUGAUGUCAAUCAAUCCAAGGAUCCAGAAGGCUUACAAGUAUUUUAUUAUCUUGUCCAGGACCUGAAGUGUUUGGUCUUCAGUCUUAUUGGAUUACACUUCAAGAUUAAACCAAUCUAGGUUGAAUAUUGGUGUGGACAUGAGGGGGUGGAGUAGUUUUUAAUUACCUUUAACCAGGAAAUUUUUGUGUAUAUCAAGGCAAUAUUUUUAUAAGCUAUAAAUGAUUGUCUUUAAUAAAUACAUGAUAAAA